rnacentral:rRNA from 1 species
GCUAACUACGUGCCAGCAGCCGCGGUAAUACGUAGGUGGCGAGCGUUAUCCGGAUUUACUGGGUGUAAAGGGCGUGUAGGCGGUUUUGCAAGUCAGAUGUGAAAUUUCCGGGCUUAACCCGGACGCUGCAUCUGAAACUGCAGAACUUGAGUAUUGGAGAGGAUAGCGGAAUUCCUAGUGUAGCGGUAAAAUGCGUAGAUAUUAGGAGGAACACCGGUGGCGAAGGCGGCUAUCUGGACAGUAACUGACGCUGAGGCGCGAAAGCGUGGGGAGCAAACAGGAUUAGAUACCCCGGUAGUC